rnacentral:rRNA from 1 species
GAGUUUGAUCAUGGCUCAGGAUGAACGCUAGCGGCAGGCUUAAUACAUGCAAGUCGAGGGGCAGCAGCUUUAUAGCAAUAUAGAGGCUGGCGACCGGCAAACGGGUGCGGAACACGUACACAACCUUCCUUGAAUAGGGGGAUAGCCCAUAGAAAUGUGGAUUAAUACCCCGUAAUAUAGCGGUGUGGCAUCACACUGUUAUUAUAGUUUCGGCGAUUCGAGAUGGGUGUGCGGCUGAUUAGGUAGUUGGCGGGGUAAAGGCCCACCAAGCCUUCGAUCAGUAGCUGAUGUGAGAGCAUGAUCAGCCACACGGGCACUGAGACACGGGCCCGACUCCUACGGGAGGCAGCAGUAAGGAAUAUUGGUCAAUGGACGCAAGUCUGAACCAGCCAUGCCGCGUGAAGGAUGAAGGUCCUCUGGAUUGUAAACUUCUUUUAUAGGGGGCGAAAAAAGGUCUUUCUAGAUCACUUGACAGUACCCUAUGAAUAAGCACCGGCUAACUCCGUGCCAGCAGCCGCGGUAAUACGGAGGGUGCAAGCGUUAUCCGGAUUCACUGGGUUUAAAGGGUGCGUAGGCGGGUAGGUAAGUCAGAGGUGAAAUCCUGGAGCUUAACUCCAGAACUGCCUUUGAUACUAUCUAUCUUGAAUAUGGUGGAGGUAAGCGGAAUAUGUCAUGUAGCGGUGAAAUGCAUAGAUAUGACAUAGAACACCUAUUGCGAAGGCAGCUUACUACGCCUAUAUUGACGCUGAGSACRAAAGCGUGGGGAUCAAACAGGAUUAGAWACCCUGGUAGUCCACGCCCYAAACGAUGAUUACUUCGACGUAUGCGAUAMACAGUAUGCGUCUGAGCGAAAGCAUUARGUAWUCCACCUGGGAAGWACRAMCGCCARGKUGAAACUYMAAGAAUUKGCCGGGGUCCSCACWACSKKGAGCAUGGUUGUUMAAUUCGAKAKAWCSYRAGGACCU